GGUAAGGAAACGAGUUAACAAUCUGUGCGGAUGUUUGAUUCAACAUACUCUUUCUGGAUAGUCAUUUCGAUUCGAAACCUAAUUGUCUCUACGUAUUCGGUCGGCCGGUUGAUUUCCAACAAACGGUAAAUCGAGCGGGUUUCUGCAGGUCCUGAAUGAAGCUAGACCUAGAUAUAUCAUGUCCACCGCAAGUAAAAAGACUGUUGGCGAAAAAUUGCUGUGAAAUGGAUAAAAAUGGAUAUUUUUGGCUGAAAAUUUUUUUAAGAGUUAAUAAAAAUAAUUUUUAGCAUAA
rnacentral:lncRNA from 1 species